GGGGGUGUGGUUUAGGGGUAUAACGUUCGCUUCGCAUUAAAUCCACAUAUACCGAUUGCGAAAGGCCAUGGGUUCGAUUCCCAUCUCCUCCA